rnacentral:misc_RNA from 1 species
GCUGACCACAAAUAUAAUUUUUCAAUCACCUGCAAAGUUUACAAGUGAACUUGCAUUCUUGAUAUGGGGAAAUUUUCACGUUGAAGAUAACUUUAUUACACGUCAGUAACUAUAACAACUCAAUCCCCAUAGCUUUUCAAGCAACCACCACCCAAAGAUGCGCUUUCCUAAGAAUCAUAUAUAAAAGAAACUCACAAGACGGCUACAUAAAACCU